ensembl:snRNA U6 U6 spliceosomal RNA
GUGCUCACUUUGGCAGCAUAGCUACUAAAAUUGGAAUGAUACAGAGAAGAUUAGUAUGUCCCUUGCACAAGGAUGACAUGCAAAUUUGUGAAGUGUUCUACAUUUUU